GACGGGACUCUGGGCUGGCUGCUCUGUUCACUCGUCAGCGCAAGUGGCGUGACCAUGUAAUUGGGGCACGGGGCCGGCGCGGCGCGCUGCGGGCUUGCAGAAUUUUGUUUGUUUGUUUGGCCGCGCGCUGGCGCAGCCACGGGCCGCAGUUACUGGGGCGCGCUGUCGUAACAAGCCGCGCGGUGUGGCCUGCACAUUGGGGUAGAGGGGGGGUAGUCUUCCCAGAUGUUCUAGUUAGUUGUUUAGUAAAUUUGACUUCAAUAACGAGCUUUUGUUAUGGUAGGCGCGGCAGGGCGCGCGAAUUUAAGCGCAAGUGAGUGGUGACUCGGGGCUCACUCAGGCGGAGGCUAUGCGUCUCACCUGUGGUCACGAGUUGUUAGUUCGUUCGUGAUGUAGGAAUUCAAGCUUUCGGGCGGAGGCUAUGGCCCUCGUCAGGGGUCACGCGUCAUAGUUUUUAAAAUGUAAUGUUCGUUCGGGAUUUCAAGGGCAGGAGAGGCCCCUACGUUAUUUUUUUUAAAGUAAUCGAUCAAGAAAGGCUUUUCGGAAAAUGUGAGUAUGGACUUAUCUUUGUUUUAAUUUUAAGUAUUAAUUAUGAUUUGAGGUAUUCGGAAGGACUAGGGAAGUGUUUAGUGAAGUUCUCUCAUUCUCUCUCUUGUAAGGUCGUUCAAUCGUUAAGGAAGUAAAGAGAUUAUUGUUUUAAAUUGUAAUCCCGCUAUUUAAAUGUUCUUUAAAAUGAUGUUGAGUAUUUGACUUUAAGAAUAAAAUAAUUUUAAUUAAGUAUUAUGUUAUUUUGCAAAAUCUCCUUAGUUCAGCUCUCACCAGACAUCCUGUACGGGAUGACGAACCUAUGAUCCUAGGUACAGUAAAGUAUUUUAUGAAGUUAAGACUAGUUGAUGCCAAGCGAGUUGUUUCUAUGUAAAGAGCUACGAUUCUCGCCCCCCCCCCCCCUCUGAAGGUGGAUCGUGACAGAAAUGGUAGAGUUCGCCGGAUAGGUUCUAUUUCUGGAGAGAGAGAGAGGUAGAUUUUUAUGUUUAUUAUUAAGUUAGUUUCAGCUUCUGAUAGCAGGUUAUUAAGAGUUUACUUGAGGAGAGGAUUACGGAAUUUAAUCUAAGAGGAGGAAGUCUUUGAGAUUUUUUUUUUUUGACGUAACAGAUGUUUAUUUGAGGAUACUUGUAAGGAUAAAGUUUAUAGUGAUAAGUUGUUUUAAGUCGUUGAAUUUAUUGUAGAUUUAUAUCGGGGAUUAUUACGUGAGGAGAAUACGUUAUAAGUUAAAUGCUUAUUAGAGAUAAUGCAAGUGGUUUAAUUUAAUUGAAGUUCAUUUUAAGAUUGUAGGUUAAGAGAGUUAAAAUUUAAAAUAAAGUUUUUUGUCGUAAAUAGGAAUUAUUUUCAAGAGAAGUUUGUUUUGUUUUCGUGCGCGUAGGAGACGAGACGUACGAAUUAAAUCAGUCGAGGGAAGGAUAAACGUUAGAAAGGAAUUAAAGAGAAAACGAGAGUUUAUGUAAAAGAGAGUUAUAGAAUUUAUAGUGAUGUUUUGUUUUAAUUAGAAAAAUGUUGAGAGUUGUUUCAGAACGACACGUCAGUGGACGUGGCAGAAUGAACACGUGACGGGGAGGUGCUGAGACCUAGCGGAGAACGGAGGAACCGCAAGCGAGGGUUGGCGCACCUGAUGGAAUUCGGUGACGUCACGGGCUCAUACGGAGACGUGGACGGCCGUGACCUUGUUUUGAUCAGCUGUACGGUAACUUAGCGAUAAGAAAAUAGACUAUUGGUUAAAUACAUUUAAAUUUAAGUGUGUUUUAGGAGAAGAGGAACUUUCAGUAUAUUCCUUAAGAUGAGCUGAGCAGCAGUCCAGUUUACAAGAUGACAAGAGUUCGAGAGACAAGAUACAAGAUCACUGAAACAAGAGCCAAGACUGAAGAUUCAAGAGAAGAGAAAGCUGGCAGCCAUGGACUUACAAGUGGAGAUUAAUAAGGUUAUGUAAAGUUUUAUUUUUUUAUGGAAGACAAUAACUGGAGUUUUUUUUUGUUAUAAACAUUAUUUACAGAACUUUUUAGGUUAUAGUAAUGUAAUGGAACUAGUGAGUUGUGGUAGCUGUCAAAAAGAACUAAUACCUUAAGUUUAAUUUUUAAAGUUAAUUUUCUUAAUUUACAGAGGGAUUAGUAGUUUUUUUUAAACCUUAUUUAGGUUGGAAUUUAAAUACAAUAGCUUAUUAUAAAUGUGUACGAACAGUUCAAGUUCACAGUACUGAUAGGUAGGUCAGAUGAUCUUAUUGAUUUUGAUGAUUUGUUGUUUUGAGUUGAUUUUUAAGUGUUGUGAAUUAGACAAUGAAAUAGUUCUGAAAACUUAAAUUAUUUCAAGCUAAGAAAUAGUAAAGUUAAUUGUAACUCAAAGGACACCAGAAUUUAAUUUUUUUUUGAAUUAGUAAUGUUUGAAAAUUUUAUACUUUACAAGAAAGGUUAUAAACAAACAGAUCGGAUGGAACAAGGAUGCAGUAAAUCACAAUUUCAUUUAGAAUUAUUGAUUAGCUUUUGAGGUUAUAAACAAACAGAUCGGAUGGAACAAGGAUGCAGUAAAUCACAAUUUCAUUUAGAAUUAUUGAUUUGCUUUUGAGGUUAUGAAGGAAAAGUAGCUAUAAUUUAAAAAUUUGAAUAAAAAUGGUUUUUUUUUAAUUUGUUUGAAAUAGAAAAUUUAAAAGUUAAUUAGUCAUGAUCUAGGUGGGUGAUGGGGUGGGAAUUGGCCACUCUUUUUCCCUAUAACCUCCCUAACAUGGCCUUCUAUUACAACUAACAGAAAUAAAGAAGAAGAAAAAUGAAGAAUUAUUAGUUAGAAU